AUUACUUUGGCAUAAAAUAUGCGUUAGAUUUAGGAUCUAAUGAUAUAGAACCUUAAGUCUAUAAGUAAUA
rnacentral:tRNA from 1 species